rnacentral:rRNA from 1 species
AGCGAACGUUAGCGGCGGGCCUAACACAUGCAAGUCGAAGCGAGAAAAGGGCUUCGGCUCUUAGUAAAGCGGCGGACGGGUGAGUAACACGUAGGUAAUCUUCCCUUGAGCGGGGGACAACGAGCCGAAAGGCUCGCUAAUAACCGCAUAGGUUUCUCGGGACUCUGGUCCUGGGAAGGAAAGACUAGGCCGCAAGGUCCGGCACUCGAGGAGGAGCCUGCGUCGCAUCAGCUAGUUGGUGGGGUAANGGCCUACCAAGGCGAA